rnacentral:rRNA from 1 species
UCGAGAAUAUUUCGCAAUGGGCGCAAGCCUGACGAAGCGACGCCGUGUGAACGAUGAAGGCCUUCGGGUUGUAAAGUUCUGUCGCCUGUGAACAAGUGUAUGAGGUGAAUAAUUUCGUACAUUGAGUGUAAUAGGAAAGGAAGCACCGGCUAACUCCGUGCCAGCAGCUGCGGUAAUACGGAGGGUGCAAGCGUUAGUCGGAAUUACUGGGCGUAAAGGGUGCGUAGGCGGGUAUACAAGUCAUAUGUGAAAUUCCGGGGCUCAACCUCGGAGCUGCAUAUGAAACUGUAUAUCUAGUGGAAUGGCGGAGAAAAUGGAAUUCCAUGUGUAGCGGUGAAAUGCGUAGAUAUAUGGAAGAACACCUGUGGCGAAAGCGGUUUUCUAGCCUACUCCAGACGCUGAGGCACGAAAGCAAGGGGAUCAAACAGGAUUAGAUACCCCCGUAGUCC